rnacentral:tRNA from 1 species
GACUGUUUGGCCGAGUGGUUAAGGCGCUAGCUUCAGGAUUGCUAGUCACUUCGGUGGCGUGGGUUCGAGUCCCACAGCAGUCA